AGAAGACAAGGGCUCCCUCCUAGGGGGCGAAAAUAGGUGAGCUGGGGUCACCUUGUUAGCGGGGUGUUAAGCAUUUGAAUGCAACACUCCUACGCAAGACCCUAGCUAUGGCUCCAUAGGGUGUGAUGAGUGCUUCAUCCGGUGCUCUUCUACUGCCUUGCCCACCUACCCUUGUGAUAUGGGCCGCGCGUGUCUGCGUGUCUCCUGUAUCGG
rnacentral:misc_RNA from 1 species